GUGUUGUACGAAAGGAGAGAAGGUUAGCACUCCCCUUGAUAAGGAUGGACAACACAUAUAACGUCAAGGCACUGUCGCUCUGGCGACACUUGACAAAUUUUUCU